rnacentral:lncRNA from 1 species
UUUUUGUGAAACUAAAAAUAAUUGCCCUUCCAGUUGAGUUAGCAAAGGAAAGAACCCAGAUAAAGACUGUCUCACCGAAGAGCGUUUGUUGAAUUUGCAUUAUUUUUUAAUACAGUUAAGACCCUCCAGAAAUGUUUUUAAGCUGACAACUUAAUUUUCUGUUUCUACCACAAUUUUCGAAGAAAAAUCAGUUCAAAAUUAUUUUAGGGUUGAAUCCUUUGUAGUUAGUCCUGGUGGACACUGAGCAUGUGAGAGGCCUGAGGCCAGACAGGAUGUGGUGAGGGCAGAGGGAGACAGAGUCAGAACGACAACUCACGGUGCAUUCUCCCAGGGGGGCCACGAGGGUUCUCUUUAGGGGCUGCCAGCUUUCCUGGGAACCUGCGUGAACACUGUCAUGAACACUGUUUUCUGUAUUAAGAAUAUUCCAU